UACGUAGGGUCCGAGCGUUGUCCGGAAUUACUGGGCGUAAAGAGCUCGUAGGUGGUUUGUCGCGUUGUUCGUGAAAACUCACAGCUCAACUGUGGGCGUGCGGGCGAUACGGGGCAGACUGGAGUACUGCAGGGGAGACUGGAAUUCCUGGUGUAGCGGUGGAAUGCGCAGAUAUCAGGAGGAACACCGGUGGCGAAGGCGGGGUCUCUGGGCAGUAAACUGACGCUGGAGGAGCGAAAAGCGUGGGGGAGC
rnacentral:rRNA from 1 species